AACGGUAUUGCUCUUCAAGAAAGUGGCGCACGGGUGCGUAACGCGUAUGCAACCUACCUUAAUCAGGGGGAUAGCCCGAAGAAAUUCGGAUUAACACCGCAUAAAAUCACAGUACAGCAUUGUACAAUGAUCAAAUAUUUAUAGGAUUAAGAUGGGCAUGCGUGUCAUUAGUUAGUUGGCGGGGUAACGGCCCACCAAGACCACGAUGACUAGGGGAUCUGAGAGGAUGACCCCCCACACUGGUACUGAGACACGGACCAGACUCCUACGGGAGGCAGCAGUAAGGAAUAUUGGUCAAUGGAGGCAACUCUGAACCAGCCAUGCCGCGUGCAGGAAGACAGCCCUCUGGGUCGUAAACUGCUUUUAUUCGGGAAUAAACCUACUUACGUGUAAGUAGCUGAAUGUACCGAAGGAAUAAGGAUCGGCUAACUCCGUGCCAGCAGCCGCGGUAAUACGGAGGAUCCAAGCGUUAUCCGGAUUUAUUGGGUUUAAAGGGUGCGUAGGCGGCUUAUUAAGUCAGGGGUGAAAGACGGUGGCUCAACCAUCGCAGUGCCCUUGAUACUGAUGAGCUUGAAUACACUAGAGGUAGGCGGAAUGUGACAAGUAGCGGUGAAAUGCAUAGAUAUGUCACAGAACACCGAUUGCGAAGGCAGCUUACUAUGGUGUUAUUGACGCUGAGGCACGAAAGCGUGGGGAUCAAACAGGAUUAGAUACCCUGGUAGUCCACGCCCUAAACGAUGAAUACUCGCUGUUAGCGAUACACAGUUAGCGGCUAAGCGAAAGCGUUAAGUAUUCCACCUGGGGAGUACGCCCGCAAGGGUGAAACUCAAAGGAAUUGACGGGGGCCCGCACAAGCGGAGGAGCAUGUGGUUUAAUUCGAUGAUACGCGAGGAACCUUACCCGGGCUUGAAAGUUAGUGAAUGAUCUAGAGAUAGAUCAGUGAGCAAUCMCACGAAACUAGGUGCUGCAUGGCUGUCGUCAGCUCGUGCCGUGAGGUGUUGGGUUAAGUCCCGCAACGAGCGCAACCCCUAUGUUUAGUUGCCAGCACGUUAAGGUGGGGACUCUAAACAGACUGCCUGUGCAAACAGAGAGGAAGGAGGGGACGACGUCAAGUCAUCAUGGCCCUUACGUCCGGGGCUACACACGUGCUACAAUGGAUGGUACAGAGGGCAGCAAGCUGGCAACAGCAAGCAAAUCUCAAAAAGCCAUUCACAGUUCGGAUAGAGGUCUGCAACUCGACCUCUUGAAGUUGGAUUCGCUAGUAAUCGCGUAUCAGCAAUGACGCGGUGAAUACGUUCCCGGGCCUUGUACACACCGCCCGUCAAGCCAUGGAAGUUGGGGGUACCUAUAGAGUAUGUAACCGC
rnacentral:rRNA from 1 species